AAUGAACGUUGGCGGCGUGGAUUAGGCAUGCAAGUCGAGCGCGAUAUUUCCUUCGGGAAAUGGAAAGCGGCGAAAGGGAGAGUAACGCGUGGAUUAUCUACCCUCGGAUUCGGGAUAGCUGCGGGAAACUGCAGGUAAUACCGGAUAACGUCUCCGGACCAAAGGUGUGAUUCCGUCCGAGGAUGAGUCCGCGUCCUAUUAGCUUGUUGGUGGGGUAAUGGCCUACCAAGGCGAUGAUGGGUACUGGGUGUGAGAGCACGACCCAGCUCACUGGGACUGAGACACUGCCCAGACACCUACGGGUGGCUG
rnacentral:rRNA from 1 species